rnacentral:ncRNA from 1 species
AAGAGCCGGAUGCGUGACCCGCAAGUCCGGUUCUGUGAGAGGCUUGGGGGAGAGAUCCCCCGGGCCUACUCGAC